UUGGAGGGCAAGUCUGGUGCCAGCAGCCGCGGUAAUUCCAGCUCCAAUAGCGUAUAUUAAAGUUGUUGCAGUUAAAAAGCUCGUAGUUGAACUUCGGGGUCUACCCAUUGGUCAGGCUUAAUUGUCUGCACUGGUGAGAUGGAUCUCUACCUUCUGAGGAACUUUCAUGCCAUUUAUUUGGUGUGAUGGGAAAUCAGGACUGUUACUUUGAAAAAAUUAGAGUGUUUAAAGCAGACUAUCGUCUGAAUACAUUAGCAUGGAAUAAUGAAAUAGGACGGACUGAUUCUAUUUCGUUGGUUUCUAGGAUCACCGUAAUGAUUAAUAGGGAUAGUUGGGGGCAUUAGUAUUCAAUUGUCAGAGGUGAAAUUCUUGGAUUUAUUGAAGACUAACUACUGCGAAAGCAUUUGCCAAGGAUGUUUUCAUUAAUCAAGAACGAAAGUUAGGGGAUCGAAGACGAUCAGAUACCGUCGUAGUCUUAACCAUAAACUAUGCCGACUAGGGAUCGGACGAAGUUAAUUUUAUAAUGACGCGUUCGGCACCUUACGGGAAACCAAAGUGUUUGGGUUC
rnacentral:rRNA from 2 species